rnacentral:rRNA from 1 species
CCAUGGGCAGGUUGAAGGUUGAGUAACAUCAACUGGAGGACCGAACCGACUAAUGUUGAAAAAUUAGCGGAUGACCUGUGGUUAGGGGUGAAAGGCCAAUCAAACCUGGAGAUAGCUGGUUCUCCCCGAAAGCUAUUUAGGUAGCGCCUCGGAUGAAUACUACUGGGGGUAGAGCACUGUUAAGACUAGGGGGUCAUCCCGACUUACCAAACCUUUGCAAACUCCGAAUACCAGUAAGUACUAUCCGGGAGACACACGGCGGGUGCUAACGUCCGUCGUGGAGAGGGAAACAACCCAGACCACCAGCUAAGGUCCCUAAUUAUAGCUAAGUGGGAAACGAUGUGGGAAGGCUUAGACAGCUAGGAUGUUGGCUUAGAAGCAGCCAUCAUUUAAAGAAAGCGUAAUAGCUCACUAGUCGAGUCGGCCUGCGCGGAAGAUGUAACGGGGCUAAGCUAUAAACCGAAGCUGUGGCAAUGCAAUGUAUUGUUGCAUUGGGUAGGGGAGCGUUCUGUAAGCCGUUGAAGGCGUAUUGAGAAAUGCGGUGGAGGUAUCAGAAGUGCGAAUGCUGACAUGAGUAACGAUAAUGGGGGUGAAAAACCUCCACGCCGGAAGACCAAGGGUUCCUGUCCAACGUUAAUCGGGGCAGGGUGAGUCGACUCCUAAGGUGAGGCCGAGAGGCGUAGUCGAUGGGAAACGGGUUAAUAUUCCCGUACUCUUUACAAUUGCGAUGGGGGGACGGAGAAGGCUAGGUGGGCCUGGCGAUGGUUGUCCAGGUUCAAGUAAGUAGGCGGAUGGUUUAGGUAAAUCCGAACUAUCUUAACGCUGAGAUAUGAUGUCGAGCCACUAUGGUGGUGAAGUCAUUGAUGCCAUGCUUCCAGGAAAAGCCUCUAAGCUUCAGAUUGUAAGGAAUCGUACCCUAAACCGACACAGGUGGUCGGGUAGAGAAUACCAAGGCGCUUGAGAGAACUCGGGUGAAGGAACUAGGCAAAAUGGUACCGUAACUUCGGGAGAAGGUACACUUCUAAUGGUGAAAUCCUUUACGGAUGUAGCUAAUGGAAGUCGCAGAUACCAGAUGGCUGCAACUGUUUAUUAAAAACACAGCACUGUGCAAAAUCGUAAGAUGACGUAUACGGUGUGACGCCUGCCCGGUGCCGGAAGGUUAAUUGAUGGGGUUAGACUUAGUCGAAGCUCUUGAUCGAAGCCCCGGUAAACGGCGGCCGUAACUAUAACGGUCCUAAGGUAGCGAAAUUCCUUGUCGGGUAAGUUCCGACCUGCACGAAUGGCGUAAUGAUGGCCAUACUGUCUCCACCCGAGACUCAGUGAAAUUGAAAUCGCUGUGAAGAUGCAGUGUACCCGCGGCUAGACGGAAAGACCCCGUGAACCUUUACUACAGCUUGGCACUGAACAUUGAGCCUGCAUGUGUAGGAUAGGUGGGAGGCUUUGAAGUUGGUACGCUAGUACCAAUGGAGCCAACCUUGAAAUACCACCCUUAUAUGUUUGAUGUUCUAACUUAGCCCCGUUAUCCGGGGCAAGGACAGUGCCUGGUGGGUAGUUUGACUGGGGCGGUCUCCUCCCAAAGAGUAACGGAGGAGCACGAAGGUGGGCUAAUCACGGUUGGACAUCGUGAGGUUAGUGUAAUGGCAUAAGCCCGCUUAACUGCGAGAAUGACAAUUCGAGCAGAUGCGAAAGCAGGUCAUAGUGAUCCGGUGGUUCUGAAUGGAAGGGCCAUCGCUCAACGAAUAAAAGGUACUCCGGGGAUAACAGGCUGAUACCGCCCAAGAGUUCAUAUCGACGGCGGUGUUUGGCACCUCGAUGUCGGCUCAUCACAUCCUGGGGCUGAAGUUGGUCCCAAGGGUAUGGCUGUUCGCCAUUUAAAGUGGUACGCGAGCUGGGUUUAGAACGUCGUGAGACAGUUCGGUCCCUAUCUGCCGUGGGCGUUGGAAGAUUGAAGGGAGCUGCUCCUAGUACGAGAGGACCGGAGUGGACGAACCUCUGGUGUUCGGGUUGUGUCGCCAGACGCAUUGCCCGGUAGCUAAGUUCGGAAUCGAUAACCGCUGAAAGCAUCUAAGCGGGAAGCGAGCCCUAAGAUGAGUCUUCCCUGGCACUUUUUGUGUCCUAAAGGGUUGUUUAAGACUAAGACGUUGAUAGGCAGGGUGUGUAAGCGUUGUGAGACGUUGAGCUAACCUGUACUAAUUGCCCGUGAGGCUUAACCA